UCCUUCUUAGCUCAGCUGGUAGAGCGCGUCACUAGUAAUUGUAUCACAUGACGAGGUCAGUCGUUCAAGUCGGCCAGAAGGAA
rnacentral:tRNA from 1 species